rnacentral:rRNA from 1 species
ACAUUCAGGGAAGAAAAGGGUGUUUUUAAUAAAGACGCCUCAUGACGGUACCUGAAGAAUAAGCACCGGCUAACUACGUGCCAGCAGCCGCGGUAAUACGUAGGGUGCAAGCGUUAAUCGGAAUUACUGGGCGUAAAGCGUGCGCAGGCGGUGAUGCAAGACAGAGGUGAAAUCCCCGGGCUCAACCUGGGAACUGCCUUUGUGACUGCAUGACUAGAGUACGGUAGAGGGGGAUGGAAUUCCGCGUGUAGCAGUGAAAUGCGUAGAUAUGCGGAGGAACACCGAUGGCGAAGGCAAUCCCCUGGACCUGUACUGACGCUCAUGCACGAAAGCGUGGGGAGCAAACAGGAUUAGAUACCCUGGUAGUCCACGCCCUAAACGAUGUCAACUGGUUGUUGGGAGGGUUUCUUCUCAGUAACGAAGCUAACGCGUGAAGUUGACCACU